rnacentral:rRNA from 1 species
UCGGAUUGUAGGCUGAAACUCGCCUACAUGAAGCUGGAGUUGCUAGUAAUCGCGAAUCAGCAUGUCGCGGUGAAUACGUUCCCGGGCCUUGUACACACCGCCCGUCACACCAUGAGAGUUGGCAAUACCCAACGUUACGUGAUCUAACCCGCAAGGGAGGAAGCGUCCUAAGGUAGGGUCAGCGAUUGGGGUGAAGUCGUAACAAGGUAUC